UGGGAGGUAAAUUUCUCCUAAGGCUAAAUAUCGGCGAGAGACCGAUAGCGAACAAGUACCGUGAGGGAAAGAUGAAAAGAACUUUGAAAAGAGAGUAAAAUAGUACGUGAAAUUGUUGAAAGGGAAACGAUUGAAGUCAGUCGUACCGACGAGAAAUCAACCUUUCGAGUGCGAACCUGCGGGCGUGCGUGAGUCUUUAACGGGCCUCGCUGUUUGCAAUGUUUGUGCUUUUGGGGUGUACUUUUUCGUAUGGUAGGCCAACGUCAGUUUCGAUCACCGUAAAAUGAUCGGAGGAAUGUAGCUUCGAU
rnacentral:rRNA from 1 species